rnacentral:sRNA from 1 species
GAGCAGGAGUUAGAACAGGAAUUAGCCGAGCAGAAGAGUCUCCUUCGCUCAGUAGCCAGUCGUGGAGAGGAGAUUCUAAUUCAACAUUCGGCGGCAGAGACUUCUGGUGAUGCUGGCGAAAAACCUGAUGUGUUAUCCCAGGAGUUGGGGAUGGAAGGGGAGAAAUCAUCUGCUGAAGACCAGAUGAGAAUGAAAUGGGAAAGCCUACAUCAAGAAUUUAGUACCAAGCAGAAACUACUACAGAAUGUUCUGGAACAGGAACAAGAGCAAGUGCUUUAUAGCAGGCCAAAUCGACUCUUGUCUGGUGUGCCACUGUACAAAGGGGACGUGCCAACCCAAGAUAAAUCUGCAGUUACAUCUUUGCUGGAUGGACUGAACCAAGCCUUCGAGGAGGUUUCAUCCCAGAGUGGAGGGGCAAAGAGGCAGAGUAUACACUUGGAGCAGAAGUUGUAUGAUGGAGUCUCAGCCACCUCUACUUGGUUGGAUGACGUUGAAGAACGUUUAUUUGUUGCCACAGCACUUUUAC